rnacentral:sRNA from 1 species
GCCGUGAGGUGUUGCCUUAAGUGGCGCAACGAGCGCAACCCCUGUCCUUAGUUGCCAGCGAGUCAUGUCGGGAACUCUAGGGAGACUGCCGGUGCCAAACCGGAGGAAGGUGGGGAUGACGUCAAGUCAUCAUGCCCCUUACGUCCAGGGCUGCAAACAUGCUACAAUGCUCGGUACAAAGGGCUGCGAUCCCGCAAGGGGGAGCGAAUCCCAGAAAGCCGGGCUCAGUUCGGAUCGGGGUCUGCAACUCGACCCCGUGAAGUUGGAGUCGCUAGUAAUCGCAGAUCAGCACUGCUGCGGUGAAUACGUUCCCGGGGCUUGUACACACCGCCCGUCACACCACGAAAGUGGGCAACACCCGAAGCCGGUGGCCUAACCCCUUGGGGAGGGAGCCGUCGAAGGUGGGGCUCGCGAUUGGGGUGAAGUCGUAACAAGGUAGCCGUAGCGGAAGCUGCGGCUGGAUCACCUCCUUUCUAAGGAGCCGUUGGCACUCCGACGCACCGACGUUCGUUCGGUGCACCAUGUCGGAAGUCUCCAGGUUGAUAGACACUGGCGUCGGCGUUCCCCCUCGGGGGAUCGUCGACACACGCUGUUCAGCUUUGAGGGUGCGAACCCUCGGGCACCUUGAGAACUCGAUAGCGAGCGCGAGCAUCGAAAGUAGUCAAGUUAUGAAGGGCUUACGGUGGAUGCUUUGGCGCCAGGAGCCGAUGAAGGACGCGUCAGGCUGCGAAAAUCUGCGGGGAGCUGCCGAGAGAGCUUUGAUCCGCAGGUGU